AGCGGGAAGCCUACCUCAAGAUAAGAUUUCCCUAGGAAUUUAUUCCUCUAAAGAGCCGUUCGAGACUAGGACGUUGAUAGGUUGGGUGUGGAAGCACGGUGACGUGUGAAGCUGACCAAUACUAAUUGCUCGUGAGGCUUGACUAUACAACACCCAAACAGUUG
rnacentral:rRNA from 1 species